GUCGUGGGUAGAAUCAUGCUUUUCUCUGUAUGCUCUUUUAGGGCCUGACAAUAGUAGCCUAAGUGGUACGGUAUGCUAACGUCUUAAGUAGUGUACAGCCUCAAGAUGCAUCUUUCGCUUCACUACGACUAUUCUGUUCACCCUGGAAUUUCUCCAGCAUUCCUUUUUUGAGAACGUUUUUGUUCUUGUUAGUAUGUUUUAAGGCUUAUUUCACACAAAUUGACACUUUUAUCCGAAGCGACUUACGAAUGAGAAAAUGCAAGCAAAGCGAUAUAUCAAGCGGAGAACGAUACAGGCAAAGCGCGCAGAGUAGAGGUGUAAGAGCCAGAACAAUUCGCCAUCCUUGGGCAGGUCAGAGAUCAGGUCUGAAUGACAGGAAAAGAGAGCCACCCUUAACAACAAGGAACAGAGGAGAUGGACCUUGGCAGCCAGGGGUUAUAAAUACCCACUCUGGUCUAGUAAUGCAGAUCAGAACAGCAGAGGAAGCAGCACACUGGAAAAGUUUAUCCUGUGGGGAAAAUCCAGAAAUCCAGAGCGCCGUAGACCAACUGAAUAAAUGAUGCAGGGGCAGUGGUGGCUUCUGGGUUACUGAUCAGAAGGUCAGGGGUUCAAGCUGCCACUGUUGGGCCCUUGAGCAAGGUCCUUAACCCUCUCUGCUGUAUCAUGGCUGACCCCAACUUCCCGGCAUGCUAGGUUUGAAAGAAAGAAAGGAUGUCGUACUGGAAAUCACAAAGGCCACCCCAUGUAUACGAGUCAAAGAAGCUUCCUGAGCUUUGAAGAUUUUUGCAUUAUGUAAAGAAGCCUGCGAUUAAAAGGGUCACGGGGAAACCUGGAGUCUAUCCCAGGGAGCAUCGGGUACAAGGCGGGGUACACCCUGGACAGGGUGCCAGUCCAUCGCAGGGCACAAUCACAUACACACUCACACACCCAUUCAUACACUACGGACACUUUAGACACGCCGAUCAGCCUACCGUGCAUGUCUUUGGACUGGGGGAGGAAACCUGAGUACCCGGAGGAAACCCCCGCAGCACGGGGAGAACAUGCAAACUCCGCACACACAGGGCCACGGUGGGAAUCGAACAUUAUGCAUUAUGUAAACAAACCAGCAUUUAAAGGGUUACAAUUCUGAAAAUGACUGAAUGUUUGGUAAC
ensembl:lncRNA